UUGGCUCAGGAUGAACGCUGGCGGCGUGCUUAACACAUGCAAGUCGAACGCGAAAGUGGCUUCGGCCACGAGUAGAGUGGCGCACGGGUGAGUAACGCGUGGAUAAUCUGCCUCUGCAAUCGGAAUAACGACUGGAAACGGUCGCUAAUACCGGAUACGCUUAAGUUUUACCUCUUAAGGAAAGAUGACCUCUAUUUAUAAGUUAUCGUGCAGAGAUGAGUCCGCGUCCCAUUAGCUUGUUGGCGGGGUAACGGCCCACCAAGGCGACGAUGGGUAGCCGAUUUAAGAGGAUGAUCGGCCACAUUGGAACUGAAACACGGUCCAAACUCCUACGGGAGGCAGCAGUGGGGAAUA
rnacentral:rRNA from 1 species